ACUCCAAAGCCAUGGCCACUACAAUUCCACUCAACCAUGAUCGCAAAAUUCGAAAACGGCACUCAACUCGAAAUUCUCGAUUUAUGGUACGACUGGCCUAAUGGAAUCAGCAUGAGCAUUGUGCAGAAACAACUAGGAAAGCUUCUUUAUGGUCCGGAAUGGAACAACGGCACUUCUUUUUCCUACUCUUUGGAUUCAAGUGAAGAGUGUAGAGUCACGCAGUUCGACGUGGGAAUUGUGAGACCCAACUGGAUUGAGGGUGCCAAGUACGUUGGACAAGAGUACAUGGAUGGGUUCUUGUGUAAUGUGUGGAACAAAGUGGACUUUAUUAUCUACUAUGAAGAUGUUGUGUCUAAAAGACCCGUGGCUUGGUUUUUCGUCCAAGGUGACAUUUCUUUCAUGUAUCUUCGAAAUUAGUAGAUGUUCUGUUAAAUUUUGAGUCGAGCGAAAAUCAAACUCUUGGACUUGCUAUUAGUGUUUUAAAUUAGAGGAAAAUUAAAAUUUUAUUACUAAGAAAAAAUUAGUCAAUUUGAGUAUUGAAAAGUCAAAGAUGAUUAUUAUGGGAAUAUAAUCUACAAAAUAAAAGUGUGUGUGAAUAACAGAUGGUGUGCUAAACUGAAGAACAAAUACAGAAGGAUAUUAAAGAAGAUACGAAUCCUCAAGUCCAGUCAAAACUGUCUCCUUUGAGUUAUUUCACCUCUCACUGUAUGUGUUGAGUAGAUAACCUCCCACAAAUAAAACGAGGUUGCGGUGUCGUUAACUAGAACGACACUUUCGGCCGGUUUAAAUCGAGCAAGAGAACUAUUACCAGAAAGGUAAGGGUGGUAUUGAGAGAGAGAGGAUGUUGUGUUUGGAUGAUUCGAAACCCUACAACCUAUAGGAGUAUUUAUAGGUGUAGAAAGAUUUGUGCUCUACUCAUUUCCAUAAUUGAAUAGAUUAAUUAUAGAAUCAGUAUAAAACUUGUAAGGCACAUUAUUCUAUAAAUAAUCUGAAACAGAAUCAUAUUAAUUUAUGUCAUAAUAUUUAAGCCAAAUUUCAUCGAAAAAAAUAAUUUCCAUUAUUAAGAUAUUAUCAUAUGUCACGCAUCCUUUAGUCAUAAUACUCAAAAUAUGACUUCCCAACAUGGGAAUUAUACCCAUAUUUUCCCAACAAAUUCUGGGAUGAAGUAUGUUUAGAAAUAUCUCAUCCUCGUGACUCCACAAGAUUUUCAAUUCCCGUAGCAACAACAUAACAUUUAAAUGAAGUACAAUAUAUUAGUUGGUUGAAAUCUAUAAAAAUUUAACGUUUUAAUUUCGGGGUUGAUAUAAUAUUUGGUGUUGCAGGAGGAACAAAUGAACAUAUAAUGACAUUCGAAGUGGGAAAAGUACUUGAUCGAAACUAUUGGCAAGCUCCUGUAUACUGUUUCGAUGAUGCUGCUGGACAGAAGAAGAAUGCAAAUAUGGAUAUACUCAAUUCUGGUGCUGCAGUUGAAACUGGAGCUUAUUAUGAGAGUUUUUUGCGAUCACCUGGGAUGAAAUUCAAGGCAGGACUUUGAAUAUUAUGGAGUAAUGUAAUUGGAGCCGUUGGGGUGGAAUAUCAACAAAAUGGACUUUUAUGUCAUAAAGAGAAUAUGCUGGAAUUUUUUAAAAUUGGGGCCUUUAAAAUUUUAAAGCCCUGUGUUAUUGGGCUGUUUGCACACCCUAAUAGCCCGCAGGUUUGCAAUUGGCACUUGAAUAAAAAAAGAUAGCGAAUAUAAUGAAAUAUUUAAGAUUGUCCGUCUCUUAAAUACAGUAGUUAUUAGCAAGGUGAUGGUCGUAGAAAUCGGAGAAAUUAGUCAGUUGACUUAACUAUUUAGAAUUUAUCGAGUAAAUUAGAUAUUUUGGUCAAACUAAAAUCUGCCGGAUAAAUCAGUGAAAUAUUUUAUAAUCUAUAUAAAAAAUUUAGAACAGUGACUUAAAAUUCUUAGCCACUAAAAUGAGUUAGAAUUUUCAACUUAAAAUGAGUUAUGAUUAUCAAUUUCUUUGUACAAGUACGAAGUUGGCUUAUACAUAAUUUAUCUGAAUAAUACGAAUAAAUUGUUUUUAACUUAUAAAUUAGAAGUUCGAACAUAACUAAUUAUUUUAUUAGGGAUGACAAUUUCAGAUAAUAUAUCAGAUUUUCUUAUUUGAUCAUGUUUUUCGGUCUACUUUUUACUUUGUGCAUAGUACUAGAAUCUACGGAUACCAACAAGAGGUAGAGACUGAAACUUUUGCAUUCUAAGGGUGCUUGGAUCGUGAUUGGGAGUGACUCAGACUCAUGAGAACCAGAUAUGAGAAUGGGUAUCCCAAAAAAAGUUAAAUGAGAUUGGAGUUCUCAUUUUAUGUCACAAAUAGCUCAUUCAAACAUAACAUCAGUAAGUUGCCCUGAGGAUGGAGUAGUAACAUAAUAGCAUAUAAUUAUGUUAAUUGGAGUAUCAUUAAGAUCUUAACUUUACAAUCACAAAUUAUCAUUUCAUGAUUCUCUUUUUGUUUGAAAAUUAUUUACAUGUGUAGGUAUCCAAUAUUAUUUUCAACUUAAAGUAACGUUAGUUUUAGUAAAAUGAUCAAUUAAUUUUUAUACAUUUUACGGAAUACUUUUUGUAUACUAAUCUUAUAUUAGUUAUACCUAUGCAUAUGUUUCUUUUAUAAUCAUAUUUAUAUUUAUAUAUGAUUUAUAAUAUAAAAAUAUUUGUUAAUUUAAAAUUUUAUAUUACUUUUGGCAUUUUAUAUUUUAUAGAAAAUUAUAGAUAUUAAAAUUUAUUGUUAUAUUAGUUGAAAAAGUAUGAUCAUCACACAAAGAAAACUAGACAUAUGGCACAAAAAUACAAACAUUGACAUUGUUCAAAGUAACUCUAAAUUUUAAGUUGCUUAAGUGACAAUUUAAUAUAAUAAUUAAACCGUGUUCUAAAACGUAUUAAAUUUUAUGAGAGAAACUCAUAAUGAGUACUUUAAUCAAAGAUAGUGUCUCAAAAAAUUAAUUUUAUAGAUUAAAUUAUAUAUAUAUACACGUAUUAAAUUUUAUGAGGGAGACUCAUAAUGAGUACUUUAAUCAAAGAUAGUGUCUCAAAAAAUUAAUUUUAUAGAUUAAAUUAUCUAUAUAUAUAUAUAUAUAUAUAUAUAUAUUACAAGAUUAAUUUGUUUAAAUAUUAUAGUACUAUAUCAAACUUAUGAAGUUCAAAAAUAAAUAAUGAAGAGUGAGAAAGUGGACAAUAUCUGUAAUAUAAUUAUAUAAGUAUGUAUAUAUGUGUGUGUGAUCUUUAACAUUCGUCCUUAUCAUUAUUGAUGAUCGUCUAAAACAAGUAUUAACGAUCCAAAUAUUUCAUGGAUCAAGUUAGGACUUAUCUAAUCUUGAUCAAGUCGUCAGUAUAAACGUCAUUAUAUUAGUUCGAGUCGAAUCAAAUUAUAUUUAUGCAUAUCCUAAUCAGGUAUUAUGGAUAUCAUUAUGAAUUUCAAAAUUAAUUUAAAUUUAAAAUUUUAAUAAAAUCAAACAUAUUAUCAACAUUUAAACUAAAUUAUUAAUAGAAAUUUGUAAAUAAUAGAUUCUUACAUCGUCCUGGAUUCUAUGCUAGUUUCGUGUUAAAUUACCAACGAUUUUAUGACUUAUUUUAGAAUUUCACAGAAUAAUCUUUUUGAUAAAUUGUUGCUAACAAUCAAGGGACUAAUCAUCAGAAAUUUUGUAGUGUUGUAUAGAUUAUUUGUCUUUUGUCAAAAAUAUCAAUCAAGUAAUUCGUGAGACAUACUAAUAAGAGAAAAUAUCAUCCGUGUAGGUCCAAUCCUGUGUAAUAAUAGUACAAUACCAUGAAGUACUACCAAUAAAAAAUCAGCCCUGCAUUUCUUAUCCUCCCACCAGCUCAAAUAUUAUUAAACCCAAAUAAGAACCUAAAUGAUUCUCAUGGCACCCACCAGCCUCUGUUUCCUCAUUUUAUUAACCACAUCUCUAGUCUCAUCAUCAAGCCUCACCGAUCCAACUCCUAAGCCAUGGCCACUACAAUUCCACUCAACCAUGAUUGCAAAAAUCGAAAACGGCACUCAACUCGAAAUCCUCAAUUUAUGGUACGACUGGCCUAAUGGAAUCAGCAUGAGCAUUGUGCAGAAACAACUAGGAAAGCUUCUUUAUGGUCCGGAAUGGAAUAACGGCACUUCUUUUUUCUAUGCUUUGGACUCAAGUGAAGAGUGUAGAGUCACG
rnacentral:lncRNA from 1 species